rnacentral:rRNA from 1 species
AGAGUUUGAUCAUGGCUCAGAGCGANNNCUGGCGGCGUGCUUAACACAUGCAAGUCGAACGCGCAGCAUUCUGUAGCAAUACAGGGUGUGGGCGCGUGGCGAACGGGUGCGUAACACGUGGAUAACCUUCCUUGAGGUGGGGAAUAACCCAGUGAAAAUUGGGCUAAUACCGCAUAACAUCGCGAUGGCACAUGCUGAUGCGAUCAAAGGCGCAAGUCGCCACAAGAGGGAUCCGCGGCCGAUUAGCUUGUUGGCGAGGUAAUGGCUCACCAAGGCAAUGAUCGGUAGCCGGACUGAGAGGUUGGCCGGCCACACUGGAACUGAGACACGGUCCAGACUCCUACGGGAGGCAGCAGUGGGGAAUCUUGCACAAUGGACGAAAGUCUGAUGCAGCAACGCCGCGUGGGGGAUGAAGCUUCUCGGAGUGUAAACCCCUUUCGACCCGGAAGAAUGCCCGCAAGGGUAUGACGGUACGGGUAUAAGAAGCCCCGGCUAACUACGUGCCAGCAGCCGCGGUAAUACGUAGGGGGCCAGCGUUGCUCGGAAUUACUGGGCGUAAAGGGUCCGUAGGCGGUGUAGCAAGUCGAUAGUGAAAUCUCUGGGCUUAACCCAGAGGCUGCUAACGAAACUGCUGUGCUAGAGUGUGAGAGAGGCGAGUGGAAUUACGGGUGUAGCGGUGAAAUGCGUAGAUAUCCGUAGGAACAUCCGAGGCGAAGGCGGCUCGCUGGAUCACAACUGACGCUGAGGGACGAAAGCUAGGGGAGCAAACAGGAUUAGAUACCCUAGUAGUCC